CAAUAGCGUAUAUUUAAGUUGUUGCAGUUAAAAAGCUCGUAGUUGGAUUUCGGUUAAGAGCGACCGGUCCGCCGUUUGGUGUGCACUGGUUGGUUUUAACUUCCUGUAGAGGACGUGCUCUGGGUUUAACGACCUGGACUCGGAGUCUACGUGGUUACUUUGAAAAAAUUAGAGUGUUCAAAGCGGGCUUACGCUUGAAUAUUUCAGCAUGGAAUAACACUAUAGGACUCCUGUCCUAUUUCGUUGGUCUCGGGACGGGAGUAAUGAUUAAGAGGAACAGUUGGGGGCAUUCGUAUUUCAUUGUCAGAGGUGAAAUUCUUGGAUUUAUGAAAGACGAACUUCUGCGAAAGCAUUUGCCGAGGAUGUUUUCAUUAA
rnacentral:rRNA from 1 species